GUGGAUCUCAUGCAGGCACUGGUUCUGAGCAAAUGGAGAUAACCCUCCGGCCCUGGGAGCCAAGGUGGGAGCAGUCAGCUGCAGAUCUGAUUGAGCCUCCCAGAGGAACAUAUUUAGAGAUGCUGGAAUCCAGGUGAUGUAUGAAAAACACUUUAUAAGUGACACUUCAGAGACAAAGCAACCUCUAAACAUAUUUGUGGAACUGAGUUUCGUGUCAGUUCUCAGGAGGCAUCACUUAGGAGUCUUGACACCACAGAUGGACAUGGUCCAUGCCCAGUCAGAGCAGUUGAUCUCCCAGCUGUGGGAGGGCAGGAUUCAAAGGUUUAGCUGGGGGUCCUCUCUUGGCAAAGCAGUGUGUCUGGCUGAUUUAUUUUCUCCAUCAUUACAGCUUUAUGCAGAGCACUGAGGUGUAUGAGGCAGGAACAAGCAUGGCUUUGUUCUCCACUCCCAACACUCAACAACCUGUACCUUUCUGCCCCGAGGCUGUGCUGGAACCAGGACCCUGCUUUAGCCCUGCAUGGCUGCAGCCCAGAGCAGCAGUGAGCAGUGCUGUGGCCAGCCCCCAGCUGGGGAGCUUGGUCCUGUACCCUUACAGGCCCCUUCCCAUCCUGGAUGAACACCUGGCCAUGUGGCAGAGCCCUUGCAGCACCAGAGGAGUCUCUGGCUCUGUGUGGACCCCAGAUAUAGAAGUUCCUGUCAGACUGUGUUUGACAAGCCUCAGUGCCCACCUGUUUCUGCACCCUGCAUGGAAGAAAGCCAAGCCUUGGGACAAAGCCAGGUCCUGGAGGAUCCAGCUGGUGACCCGUUAAGCAGCGACACGUUCUGGGCAGCGUACCUGCUCUUUGAAUUGUCUGCCAGGGGACAGAUGUGACCUGCCUGCAGAGACACUCGGGGUGGGCUGCGCGUCCCCAGGAAACGCCCCAUCGAUGCCUAUUUUUUCCUCUUGUAUUUUUUUAUAAAUGAAUCAGGAGUUUGACAAGGGGAUGAAUAAGAGUGAGGGAGAAGGAUUGGAGGCGUUUUCAAGUGGUUACGAAGUUUGGUUUACUUACAGUUUUAUUAAGAAUUUUGCAAAGGAUAGAAGAAGCACUGUGGACUGUAGGUUUUUACUGGAGCAGUCUGAAGCUGUAGUGUAGAUGCUAAAAUUACCAAGGCACUUAUUCUGUGGCAGUUACAUGGAUUAUCCAUAGUACUGGUGAGAUCAGAGUCCUUCACUGCAUCAUGAAGGUAAAUUAAGCUCCUCUACUUUAAAGGAGUAAAAUUUAGUUAUAUUGCCUUACAGUGGAUAUUGAAUAACUUUUUCUCAGUUCUGGAAAACAAGGUGUCAGCUAAGUGCUGGUAAAAUACAGCUGUUUCUUAUCCCUGCUUUCCUGUUGUGCUGCAGGGUGUAACUUCUGGAAAGUUCCAUGUUCCGUAGUGCCACAGAUGACACAAACUGGAGCAUGGCAGAAAUUUCAGUGCUGAAGCUCUGGCAGGAAUGGGGGAGGUCAUACCAUGGUUUUGGUGUUUAAUACCAAGAAGUAGCAAGGUGCAGGUUUAAAGCUAAUCCUGCAAGUCAUGGGGAGUGGUCUUUUGGGUAUUUUCCCUUUAGGGUAUUUUUUGCAGUGUUACUGUGGGGGUUUAAAUCUGUGUUGGAGAAGGGGUCAUCUUUGCCAAACCUCCAGCCUGGAGAUACACGGAGGAGAUACUUCCCUUACCUUUUGUUACAAAGUUAGCAAAUAAAGGUUGUCAAUUACUGUUUCUCCA
rnacentral:lncRNA from 1 species